UGGCUCAGCAGUUAAGAGCACUGGACUGCUCUUCCAGAGGACCCAGGUUCAAUUCCCGG
rnacentral:tRNA from 1 species